CCUACGGGAGGCAGCAGUGGGGAAUAUUGCACAAUGGGGGAAACCCUGAUGCAGCGACGCCGCGUGAGUGAAGAAGUAAUUCGUUAUGUAAAGCUCUAUCAGCAGGGAAGAAAAUGACGGUACCUGAGUAAGAAUCCCCGGCUAACUACGUGCCAGCAGCCGCGGUAAUACGUAGGGGGCAAGCGUUAUCCGGAUUUACUGGGUGUAAAGGGGGCGUAGACGGCAGUGCAAGUCUGGAGUGAAAGGCGGGGGCUCAACCCCCGGACUGCUCUGGAAACUGUACGGCUGGAGUGCAGGAGAGGUAAGUGGAAUUCCUAGUGUAGCGGUGAAAUGCGUAGAUAUUAGGAGGAACACCAGUGGCGAAGGCGGAUUACUGGACUGUAACUGACGUUGAGGCUCGAAAGCGUGGGGAGUAAACAGGAUUAGAUACCCGUGUAGUC
rnacentral:rRNA from 1 species